AGUGAACGCUGGCGGUAGGCCUAACACAUGCAAGUCGAACGGCAGCACAGUAAGAGCUUGCUCUUACGGGUGGCGAGUGGCGGACGGGUGAGGAAUACAUCGGAAUCUACUUUUUCGUGGGGGAUAACGUAGGGAAACCUACGCUAAUACCGCAUACGACCUACGGGUGAAAGCAGGGGAUCUUCGGACCUUGCGCGAUUGAAUGAGCCGAUGUCGGAUUAGCUGGUUGGCGGGGGAAAGGCCCACCAAGGCGACGAUCCGCAGCUGGACUGAGAGGAUGGUCGGCCGCACUGGAGCUGAGACACGGUCCAGACUCCUACGGGAGGCAGCAGUGGGGAAUAUUGGACAAUGGGCGCGAGCCUGAUCCAGCGAUACCGCGUGGGUGAAGAAGGCCUUCGGGUUGUAAAGCCCUUUUGUUGGGAAAGAAAAGCAGCAGGUUAAUACCCCGCUGGUCUGACGGUAACCAAAGAAUAAGCACCGGCUAACUUCGUG
rnacentral:rRNA from 1 species